AGGAGCAACAGCCCUAGUGGCAGGGCCAGCUCUGCAGCCCUGGAAUCAGCUCCAGCAGGAACUCCGUCUGUAGGGCCUGGAGGCUCCAGGGUGGG
rnacentral:pre_miRNA from 1 species